GUUUUAUUCAGGUUUCUAAGAAGCUCUGAGACAAAUUUAUGAUCCAUCACUGAUUUCUGGAAAUAAAUUCCAGAAUGAGUUCAUCCUGCCAAUCCGGAGCCACAGUUUGGAGAUGCUGCAUUCCUAGAUUGAAGGCCUGGCUCCUGGUGGACAGCCCUCUCUCUAAAGCUACUCUCUCCAGGUUCUGGCAACCGCAGCCAAAGGGCCAAAGAAACCUGCAGAGGUAACAGAUGAAAGGAGAUGAUGAAGCCAGCCUUGUAGAAGGUCUCAGGACAUGGAGGUGCAGUG